UACGGAGGGGGCUAGCGUUGUUCGGAAUUACUGGGCGUAAAGCGCACGUAGGCGGCUUUGUAAGUUAGAGGUGAAAGCCCGGGGCUCAACCCCGGAACUGCCUUUAAGACUGCAUCGCUUGAAUCCAGGAGAGGUGAGUGGAAUUCCGAGUGUAGAGGUGAAAUUCGUAGAUAUCGAGAGGAACACCGGUGGCGAAGGCGGCCUUCUGGACAGUGACUGACGCUGAGACGCGAAAGCGUGGGGAGCAAACAGG
rnacentral:rRNA from 1 species